rnacentral:rRNA from 1 species
AACGAACGCUGGCGGCAGGCCUAACACAUGCAAGUCGAGCGAGGACUUCGGUCCUAGCGGCGGACGGGUGAGUAACGCGUGGGAACGUGCCCUUUGCUUCGGAAUAGCCCUGGGAAACUGGGAGUAAUACCGGAUGAGCCCUUUGGGGGAAAGAUUUAUCGGUGAAGGAUCGGCCCGGGUUGGAUUAGGUAGUUGGUGGGGUAAUGGCCUGCCAAGCCGACGAUCCAUAGCUGGUUUGAGAGGAUGAUCAGCCACACUGGGACUGAGACACGGCCCAGACUCCUACGGGAGGCAGCAGUGGGGAAUCUUAGACAAUGGGGGAAACCCUGAUCUAGCCAUGCCGCGUGAGCGAUGAAGGCCUUAGGGUUGUAAAGCUCUUUCAGCUGGGAAGAUAAUGACGGUACCAGCAGAAGAAGCCCCGGCUAACUCCGUG